rnacentral:rRNA from 1 species
AUUGAACGCUGGCGGCAGGCCUAACACAUGCAAGUCGAACGGUAACAGGAAGAAGCUUGCUUCUUUGCUGACGAGUGGCGGACGGGUGAGUAAUGUCUGGGAAACUGCCUGAUGGAGGGGGAUAACUACUGGAAACGGUAGCUAAUACCGCAUAACGUCGCAAGACCAAAGAGGGGGACCUUCGGGCCUCUUGCCAUCGGAUGUGCCCAGAUGGGAUUAGCUAGUAGGUGGGGUAACGGCUCACCUAGGCGACGAUCCCUAGCUGGUCUGAGAGGAUGACCAGCCACACUGGAACUGAGACACGGUCCAGACUCCUACGGGAGGCAGCAGUGGGGAAUAUUGCACAAUGGGCGCAAGCCUGAUGCAGCCAUGCCGCGUGUAUGAAGAAGGCCUGCGGGUUGUAAAGUACUUUCAGCGGGGAGGAAGGGAGUAAAGUUAAUACCUUUGCUCAUUGACGUUACCCGCAGAAGAAGCACCGGCUGACUCCGU